AGAGUUUGAUCCUGGCUCAGAACGAACGCUGGCGGCAGGCUUAACACAUGCAAGUCGAACGAUAUAGUGGCAGACGGGUGAGUAACGCGUGGAAACGUGCCUUUCACUACGGAAUAGCUUUUGGAAACGAAAGGUAAUACCGUAUACGCCCUCCGGGGGAAAGAUUUAUCGGUGAAAGAUCGGUCCGCGUUAGAUUAGCUAGUUGGUGAGGUAAGAGCUCACCAAGGCGACGAUCUAUAGCUGGUCUGAGAGGAUGAUCAGCCACACUGGGACUGAGACACGGCCCAGACUCCUACGGGAGGCAGCAGUGGGGAAUAUUGCACAAUGGGCGCAAGCCUGAUGCAGCCAUGCCGCGUGAAUGAUGAAGGCCUUAGGGUUGUAAAAUUCUUUCGCCAAGGAUGAUAAUGACAGUACUUGGUAAAGAAGCCCCGGCUAACUUCGUGCCAGCAGCCGCGGUAAUACGAAGGGGGCUAGCGUUGUUCGGAAUUACUGGGCGUAAAGCGCACGUAGGCGGACUUUUAAGUCAGAUGUGAAAUCCCAAGGCUCAACCUUGGAACUGCAUUUGAAACUGGGAGUCUAGAGAUCAGGAGAGGUUAGUGGAAUACCGAGUGUAGAGGUGAAAUUCGUAGAUAUUCGGUGGAACACCAGUGGCGAAGGCGACUAACUGGACUGAUACUGACGCUGAGGUGCGAAAGUGUGGGGAGCAAACAGGAUUAGAUACCCUGGUAGUCCACACCGUAAACGAUGAGAGCUAGUUGUCUGCAGGCAUGCCUGUAGGUGACGCAGCUAACGCAUUAAGCUCUCCGCCUGGGGAGUACGGCCGCAAGGUUAAAACUCAAAGAAAUUGACGGGGGCCCGCACAAGCGGUGGAGCAUGUGGUUUAAUUCGAAGCAACGCGCAGAACCUUACCUACGCUUGACAUGCCUGGACGACUCCGAGAGAUCGGUUUCUCCCUUCGGGGCCAGUGCACAGGUGCUGCAUGGCUGUCGUCAGCUCGUGUCGUGAGAUGUUGGGUUAAGUCCCGCAACGAGCGCAACCCUCAUCCUUAGUUGCCAUCACGUUUGGGUGGGCACUCUAGGGAAACUGCCGGUGUUAAGCCGGAGGAAGACGGGGAUGACGUCAAGUCCUCAUGGCCCUUACGCGUAGGGCUACACACGUGCUACAAUGGCAGUGACAAUGGGUUAAUCCCCAAAGGCUGUCUCAGUUCGGAUUGUCGGCUGCAACUCGCCGGCAUGAAGUUGGAAUCGCUAGUAAUCGUGGAUCAGCAUGCCACGGUGAAUACGUUCCCGGGCCUUGUACACACCGCCCGUCACACCAUGGGAGUUGGAUCUACCCGAAGAUUGUGAGCUAACUUCGGAGGCAGCAAGCCACGGUAGGUUCAGCGACUGGGGUGAAGUCGUAACAAGGUA
rnacentral:rRNA from 1 species